rnacentral:misc_RNA from 1 species
CAGUUCCAGUUCUGGCAGAGUAA